rnacentral:rRNA from 1 species
GAUGAACGCUAGCGGCAGGCUUAAUACAUGCAAGUCGAGGGGCAGCAUGGGUAGCAAUACCUGAUGGCGACCGGCAAACGGGUGCGGAACACGUACGCAACUUUCCCAGAACUGGUGAAUAGCCCUCCGAAAGGAGGAUUAAUACACCGUAAGAUAGAGAUGUGGCAUCACAUUUUUAUUAUAGCUCCGGCGGUUUUGGAUGGGCGUGCGCCUGAUUAGGUAGUUGGCGGGGUAACGGCCCACCAAGCCUACGAUCAGUAACUGGUGUGAGAGCACGACCAGUCACACGGGCACUGAGAAACGGGCCCGACUCCUACGGGAGGCAGCAGUAAGGAAUAUUGGUCAAUGGACGCAAGUCUGAACCAGCCAUGCCGCGUGAAGGAUGAAGGCCCUCUGGGUUGUAAACUUCUUUUAUCUGGGACGAAAAAGGGGCAUUCUUGCUCAACUGACGGUACCAGAGGAAUAAGCACCGGCUAACUCCGUGCCAGCCGCCGCGGUAACAC